ensembl:lncRNA
GUCAAAGUUUGGAGAAGAAGUGAUGGUGGUUGAGUACUCAACCAUGGAGAUGACAUCUAUAUUAACAUUCCUCUUCCAAGGUUCCAGGAACUUCAUGGGAAAGGAGACUGAAAGAAGAUAAGAGCUUGACAAUGGCAAACUUGGGAGGCAGCAACAAAACAGUGGAGCUGGAACCUGGAUUUCUUGGAGCCAGGACAAAGGUCCACGAGUAAUGGAAUGUACUCUCAUCUGUGUCGUCUUCACAUUUACCAAAUCAUCUGCCUCUGUCUCAUGUGCACCUUUUUGGAAUAAAAUAAAAAAGGUACUAGAGAAUAUAUAAGAGAAAAAUAUCCAUCUAUGAUGUCCACUAAGGUUCAAAGAAGCUAGGAGAAGGUGGUCAUGGUUAAUUAAUGAAGCAUCAAGAGGAUUGCUACCAGCUUCCAGCCCUGCUUAUGAUGCCUCUAAGAAAUGGUACGUGCAGUGAUGGGAUUCAGGAAGAGUCCUGAAAGACCUAGUCCAGUUCUGUAGUGCACAGUAAAGCUUCCCUUGGAUAAGCCAGAAAACAGGCUGGGAGCAAGUGAACCUGACCUCAAGCAGUCUAGCACCACGAAUCUUCUGCAGAAGAUGUUUCAUCUUGCAAAGUUUUCCAGUGGGCAUCUUAGUUUCUGAAAAUCAGGACAGCCUGAUCCACAACCCAGCAACAGAUACUGUCAUGUCUAGAAGCACUUCGUCCAGUCAACAACAGAACACUGAAAUGGGAUCCUAACAGACCUUGGCAAGAAGUAUGUAUGAAGAUAAUGGAAUUCCCUGGAGGCACACCUGCCACCUAUUUCUUUCUUCUGCUUCGAGUACUUGGGUGGCUGCCCUCAAGCUCAGCCAAGUUCCUUAAGGCUAGAUCAAGGAGAGGGAGCAAGGCAUAGUGCUUCGAGUUUUUAAUUUCUUGUAGACACCAAAGAUAUGAAUGAAUAUCUUUCUUUAUCUGCCUGAGAUCCUGGAGUUUAUAUAAGCAACAUUUCCUGUACAGCAGCAUAAUCUCAAGGCGUACUGACAGAAUGAGAUUUUAGUUACCAUUUUAUUUAGAUUUGAAUGUAAUAUAAGGUGAAUCUAUUAUUAGCAUUAAUAAUUGUAAAAUAAUAUUUCCUGCUUUAAGAGUUCUGGUAAUAUUGUCAGACAUUGGAGAAUCAUAAAUAAUUGCUUUCUAAUUUUCUCUAAAGGAAAAGGCCCUUCAAGAGCACUUACAUAGGGUCUGGGGAGAUGGCUGAACCACUGAAAUGCUCUCAGGGCACAAGCAACAAGACCUGAAUUCAGGUACUAGGCACCUACAUAAAAGAGCAUGGCAUUAAAGUUCGUGUCUAUAACCCCAGUACUUCAGAGACAGAAACAAGAGGACUCUGUCUCAAAAAACAAUAGGGAAUGACGUAGGGAGAUGCCAGGUGUUAAGGUUUGGACUCCACUUACACACUUGCACACAGGGAAACACUAGCAAACAUAUUGAUCACACACACACACACACACACACACACACACACACACAGAGAGAGAGAGAGAGAGAGAGAGAGAGAGAGAGAGAGAGAGAAAGAGAGAGAUGCAUGCAGAAAGAAAACACAAAGUUCAAUUUUUAUAGACUAUCCCAAAUAUACUUUCUUUUUCUUUUUUUUAAAUGUUAUUUUAUAUAGCCAUAAUCAAAAAUCAAAGUAGGGGAUCUAUCCCCAGAGAAAGAAAGUAGAUAUUAAGGUAUGUACCAUUUUCUUUUAGUUAUUUGAUGUCAUGGUUUCAUAAAUAAUAAUAAUUGGGAACAAAGCAGGUGACAAGACAUGCAGCAUAAAGCAACUUUUCAUCCUUGUCCAUGACUUGGUAAGUUGACACUGCCUGAGAAAGCACCUUUGCCCUGUAGACCAUGUGUCAAUAGGUGAUAUGAGGGACUAUAAAUGUUGGCCAACUAACGAAACAUAUUUGACAAGAUAAAGUAAAACCUCUUAUGAUGAAACAUAUCCAACCAAAGUCUUUUUAUGAUGUCCCAUCAUGUGGGUUUGUAGUGUGUUUGUAGAAGGUGCUUGUAGUGAAUAGCAAUCAUUAGCAUGUCUGGGAAAUG